UACAGAGGUCCCAAGCGUUGUUCGGAAUUACUGGGCGUAAAGGGCUCGUAGGCGGCCAACUAAGUCAGACGUGAAAUCCCUCGGCUUAACCGGGGAACUGCAUCUGAUACUGGAUGGCUUGAGUUCGGGAGAGGGAUGCGGAAUUCCAGGUGUAGCGGUGAAAUGCGUAGAUAUCUGGAGGAACACCGGUGGCGAAGGCGGCAUCCUGGACCGACACUGACGCUGAGGAGCGAAAGCCAGGGGAGCAAACGGG
rnacentral:rRNA from 1 species